GACGAACGCUGGCGGCGUGCCUAAUACAUGCAAGUUGAGCGCUGAAGGUUGGUACUUGUACCGACUGGAUGAGCAGCGAACGGGUGAGUAACGCGUGGGGAAUCUGCUUUUGAGCGGGGGACAACAUUUGGAAACGAAUGCUAAUACCGCAUAAAAACUUUAAACACAAGUUUUAAGUUUGAAAGAUGCAAUUGCAUCACUCAAAGAUGAUCCCGCGUUGUAUUAGCUAGUUGGUGAGGUAAAGGCUCACCAAGGCGAUGAUACAUAGCCGACCUGAGAGGGUGAUCGGCCACAUUGGGACUGAGACACGGCCCAAACUCCUACGGGAGGCAGCAGUAGGGAAUCUUCGGCAAUAGACGAAAGUCUGACCGAGCAACGCCGCGUGAGUGAAGAAGGUUUUCGGAUCGUAAAACUCUGUUGGUAGAGAAGAACGUUGGUGAGAGUGGAAAGCUCAUCAAGUGACGGUAACUACCCAGAAAGGGACGGCUAACUACGUG
rnacentral:rRNA from 1 species